CACGCGCGCCAGCGGCAGGCGGUGCGGAAGUGAUGGUACUGGGCGUCCCCGACCACGGCCUGCAGGGGAGGGUCGCUGAGACGCACCUUGAAGCCGUCGUCGGACGCGAUGAUGAGCACCUCGAAGGGCUGCCCGCGCUGGAAGGGAACGCCCGGCCCGCGCUCCUCGCGGCCCCAGGAGCCUUGCUCCAGGCUGUUGAAGACCACCUCGGAGGUGUCCAGCCGGGGGUUGAAAUGCAGAACCGCGUCGGAGCCCUGCUCCUCCCCGCACAGCAGGGCCUGGGGCCUCACCUGCUGGCAUUGGGAGGAACCACGCCACGAAUUCUCAGCACUGUGCCAGGGCGGAUGCCCUCGGGCAGCGAGGUCUUGUGGGGGACGUUCUGCAAGAAUGGGGUUCGAGGGCCACUGAGCCGGUGAGACGGAGGGAGGCAGAAGACAUAGUCGGUCCUGGGAGGCCAGUCUGAGUGGGAACUCCAGACCCUUCUCUCCAGCUGAGAACCUCCUGCCUGGACCAGGGGUGUCCGAGCUGAAAUCGCAGCUUCCACCUCUCAUCGCUACCAUCAUCCCACCAAGUUUGCAGGAUGAGCUGCUGGUCCACCCACGACCCCAUCACCACCUAGAUCAAAAGCAGAGCAAGAUAAAGACCAUCCUGCCAGUACCGAAACAGCCCCGUUGGGCCCGACUCUGGAAGAGAAUUCCAGAGUCUCUGUUCUGCAGGCUGGAGUGCAGUGGCGUGGUCUGCAACGUCCACCUCCCGGGUUCAAUCGAUUCCCCUGCCUCGGCCUCCUGAGUAGCUGGGAUUACAGGCACACGCUACCACACUUAGCUAAUUUUUGUAUUUUUAGUACAGAUGGGGUUUCACCAUAUUGGUCAGGCUGGUCUUGAACUCCUGAUUUCGUGAUCCUCCCACCUCAGCCUCCCAAAGUGCUGCAAUUACAAGCAUGAGCCACCGUGCCCAGCCUGAAAUGUUUUCAUGAGGCUUUUUUCUUUUUUUUUGAGGUGGAGUCUUGCUUUGUUACCCAGGCUGGAGCGCAGUGGUGCCAUCUCAGCUCACUGCAACCUCUGCCUUCCAGGUUCAAGUGAUUCUCCUGCUUCAGCCUCCCCAGUAGCUGGGAGUACAGGUGCCUGCCACCACGCCUGGCUAAUAUUUAUAUUUUUAGUAGAGACGUGGUUUCACCAUGUUGGCCAGGCUGGCCUUGAACUCCUGAUUUCAGGUGAUCCAGCUGCCUCAGCCUCCCAAAGUGCUGGGAUUACAGGUGUGAGCCACUGUGCUCAGCUGCUUUUUUUCAAUUUUAUUUUAUUUUAUUUGUUUUCGAGACGGAGUUUCGCUCUUGUUACCCAGGCUGGAGUGCAAUGGCGCGAUCUCGGCUUACCACAACCGCCGCCUCCUGGGUUCAAGCAAUUCUCCUGCCUCAGCCUCCUGAGUAGCUGGGACUACAGGCGCGUGCCACUAAUGCCCAGCUAAUUUUUGUAUUUUUAGUAGAGACGGGGUUUCACCAUGUUGACCAGGAUGGUCUCGAUCUCUUGACCUUGUGAUCCACCCGCGUCGGCCUCCCAAAGUGCUGGGAUUAUAGGCAUGAGCCACCACGCCCGGCCUUUUUUUCAAUUUUAAAUAGUUAAUAUAGACUGGGUGUGAUGGCGCACACCUGUAGUCCCAGCUACUUGAGAGGCUGAGGCAGGAAAAUCACUUGAACCUGGGAGGCAGAGAUUGCAGUGAACUGAGUUCGUGCCAUUGCACUCCAGCCUGGGCAACAAGAACAAGACUCAGUCUCAAAAAAUGUCUAAUAAUAAUAGUAGUAAUAAUAAUAAUAUAUGUAUUUCUCAAUAGUAUUUUUAUCAAGGUAUCCUUCCCAUAAAAUAAAAGAUGCGGAUAUUAAAGGUACAGUUCACUGAUUUUGAGAAAUGUGGAGACCUAUCUAACCACCUCCUCAAUUAAGUUUCCUGGAGUCCAGCAAAUAGUGGCCUCUCCUCUUGUUCCAGGAAGCCACUGGCCAUUGUCACUCCUGACCUUUUUGAGAUGGGGUCUCACUCGGUCACCCAGGGUGGAGUGUAGUGGUAGAAUCUCUACCCACUGCAGCCUCAGCCUUCCAAGCUCCUGGGCUCAAGCAAUCCUCUCAUUUCAGCCUCCCAAGUAGCGGGGGCUACAGACACAUGCCACCACACCUGACUAAUUGUUUAUGUGGUUUUUGUAGAGAGAGGGUUUUACCAUGUUGCCCAGGCUGGUCUUGAAUUCCCAGAGUCAAGCGAUCUGUCUGCCUCAGCCUCCCAAAGUGCUGGGAUUACAGGUGUGAGCCACUGUCCCUGGCUACUCCUGAGCAUUGAAUAGCCACCAAAGUUCAUUUGUCUCAAAAUAAAGAAGGGGGAGUAGACUGAUUUUUCUGACUUUAUGCCUCUUUUAGGAAAUAAUUCAGAUGAAAAGUAGUUACUUGCACACCAGGUGGCUGCAGAGAUUUGAAAUUCAGGCUCCAUGAACGUCAUUUUGUUGGUGAUAUUUUGGUUAUUUUUUGUACACAGUGAAGGUAAUUCAGGGGCUGCUUUUUGUAAAUCAACAUUCUGAUGAUGAAAAUGACACUUAGAAAUCUCACUUUGUGCCGGGCGCGAUGGCUCACGCCUGUAAUCCCAGCACUUUGGGAUGCCAAGGCGGGUGGAUAGCAAGGUCAAGAGAUCGAGACCAUCCUGGUCAACAUGGUGAAACCCCGUCUCUACUAAAAAUACAAAAAUUAGCUGGGCACAGUGGCGCGUGCCUGUAAUUCCAGCUACUCAGGAGGCUGAGGCAGGAGAAUUGCCUGAACCCAGGAGGCAGAGGCUGCGGUGAGCCAAGAUUGCACCAUUGCACUCCAGCCUGGGUAACAAGAGUGAAACUCCGUCUCAAAAAAAAAGAAAUCUCACUUUGUUCUUGGCCAGGCGUGGUGGCUCACGCCUGUAAUCUCAGUACUUUGGGAGGCCAAGGCGAGUGGAUCACCUGAGAUCAGGAAUUUGAGACCACCAGCCUGGCCAACAUGGUGAAACCCUGUCUCUACUAAAAAUACGAAAAAAAAAGGAAGAGAGAGAGAAAAUGGCUGGGCAUGGUGGUACAUGCCUGUGAUCCCAGCUACUUGGGAGACUGAGGCGGGAGGAUCACUUGAACCCAGCAGGCGGAGGGUGUUGUGAGCCGAGGUCGCACCGCUGUACUCUAACCUAGGUGACAGAGCAAGACUCCAUCUCAAAAACAAACCAACAAACAAUCCAGAAAUCUCACUUUCACUUUGUUCUUAAGCUUUUAUGCCCACUGGAAAUCUUACAACUCUAGUUUUAUAAAUAUAAUAAAUAUUAAUAGAACAAUCCAA